UAGAUAACGGCUGGGAGUAAAAAUUGCGAUUUCAGCAUUGGAGAUCCUCUAAGUCCUACUUAUCACCAAUCAAUUACCUCAAAUGAAAAGUUACCUCGCCAUUAUUGC